rnacentral:tRNA from 1 species
UGGGCGGUAGCCAAAUGGUAAGGCACACGGUUUUGGUCCGUACAUUUGGUGGUUCGAGCCCACCCCGCCCAGCCA